GCGGUUUGAAUUAAAGACAUUAAAUUUAUCUGCAAAGUUGUAGUUGAAAGGGCAGCUGUAAUUGAUCAUCUAAUGAAAAUCACGAUUCACCUCAGUACUCCGAAAUUGUAGAUUACCGUAUGCACUAUCACACAUUUCUCACUUUUUGAAUAGUUAUUUUCUUUAUUUUUUGAUUUGGAAAAUAUUAGAUAUUAAAUAAAUACACGAAAAUACACGUCAAGCACUUGGUCAUGAAUUACCUUAGUUAAUAGCAUUGCGCGCAACAUGAAAAUAGCCUGGAGAGUGUGUUCGGUUUUGCUGUGCAGUUGGGUUUUUGAAUCAGUUGGAUUUUGUUGGGUCUGUUGGCUUUUUUUUAAUCUGUUGGGUCUUGUUGUGUC